CUGCCUCCUGCACACCUCCUACUGGGGAUGUGCCCGCAACCAAGGUACAUGCCCUUGGCCGGAAUCGAACCUGGGACCUUUCAGUCCGCAGGCCGACGCCCUAUCCACUGAGCCAAACCGGUUAGGGCUUGACUCCCAUUCUUGUGGCUACAGAUACCGAAGACAAGUGGCUUGCCCCAAGUCCUGGCGCUGGGAGUGGUAGAGCUGGGAUUUGAAGGCAGGUCUGGCUAGCUUCAAACUGAAUGCACCCACCCCUAACGCAGACCCAUCUGACCAGGGCCCUGUGCCGAGCAGCCACGCACCAUGAUUUGUGGCUUUCCUACCACGAUUGGAAUGCCGCCCUUCCCCCCUCCUCCCACCACAAGCCCAGGCCUUAUAAGGCAGGAAGGAGUUCAAGGUACAGUGAGAACACCGAACCGGGAGUCAGGAGGCUCCGCUCUGGUUCAGGCCUGCUUCUCACUGAGUGACCUUGAGCACAUCACUAGCCCUCUAUGCCCCUCAUGCCCCUUUUUGCAAAGCCGAGUCUGGAGUAGACAGGUGCUGUCUAAGGUUGCUUUCAGCUCUAAGAAUUCUGAGUCUGUGAUCGGAGUUGAGUUCAGUUCUUGUCUGGGGUGUCUUUGCCGACAAUGCUUUGAGGAAUUCCUCAGAAGGGCAAGGCCGGGCAUGCCUAGCACAGCUCUGGAUAGUGAGGGCCACACGGGCACUUCCACGGACCAGACACAGGCACUGCGUGGGCGCGGCCUCAAUCAUCUUGUUUGCUCUGAGAUUCUUCUCAAAUGAACUGCUAGUUGUGCAUCUUGCUGCCCACUCCUCCCUCGGUUCUGUGUAAAUCCAGACAGAUGAACAACUGGGCUCCUUCGAGACCUCGUCCUCAGUUGAUCAUAAUAUGCAGCUGGUGGAUAUCAACUUAAAUAAACACCAAAAGGAAGUCUCAUGUUUUCUCUGGCUACUGAACAGUUUUUAUUCCCCUUAAAAACACCUUUCAGUCACUGCACCUGUAGGUGGUCCCAAUGAGCUUCCUUCCCUGUUGAAGAGCCUCGAGGGGAGGCUGGUGGGAAGCGUCCAAGCGUCCGUUCUCAAUCCCCGAGGCCAGGCUUGGCACUUGGCGCAAGGACAGGCGGUGCAGUGUGCACACGGGGAAGCGCUGUAUCUCCUCAACAUUUCCACUCCGGGACACCUUCUCAGAACCACGUGACGAGAACAGCAGCCGUUCCCACCUGUCCCUUUCCAUCUGCGUGAUGCGCACACACCUGAGAGCUCUCACUUACUCGGUCUUACCUGGGUACAGCAUAGGGGGCAGGAGCCACCAACCGGGUAAGAGCUGUGAGGACAGCCUGGGGAGAGGGCCUGCACCACUGCCCAUCAAUGACCUACUAGCUCACAACAACGUGGGCCUGUGUUUUGAAGGGAAGGGAGGAAACUCUGGAAGUCUAUUAACCCUUUCAAAGAUGGCCAGCACCAAGGGAAACCGCUAUUUACCAGGCAGAUCUGAAAAGAUGGCGGUGACUAACCAGAGGGAACAAUUUCUUCCAGCUCAUCAGGGGGCUCGGGUCUGGUUUGCUUUAUGAGACAUGAGACCAAUUAGCAUUCCAUUCUGCUAAUAGCGUUCUCCUUACAGCGACUCUUUACCUUCAAUGUCACAGCCCAGACUUACAGGCUGCAAUGUUCACUCAAUUAAAAGGGAACCACAACCCUAAACGACGUGGCUAUUAACCCUGUCCUGGUCCGGCUGCCAAAACACAUGCGCAGACGCGAUGCUUCCUCAGGGGAGAGGAGCUCAUUUGCUCAGCCGGCUGUUGACACAGCGAUACAAGUAAGAAAACCUCAUCCAGAACCAUGCCCUCUUUUAUUACCAAAAUGAUACAGUGUACCUUCCCAAGGUAUUUCAGAGAUACUUUCAGUAAUUAGGAUGUAAAACAUCUGGAGCAAAAACAUUACCUCAGGGAGAAGGGGAAAAGAACACACAUCUUCUACUUGACAGGAAAGAAUAUUUUGUUUAAGAAAAUCCCUAGAGUAAAUGCUGAACUCUGAGUACACUCCUGUCGUCAGUCCUCCCAGCAGACGUCUUUCAUGAUUUGCAGCCUGGAUUAGAAGCACUCUGAAGACGUGCUCUAGACACCGCGUGGCAUUUCCUAAAGAGGUGAAAUACAGCUUUCCCGGGUAAGACUUUUUGCAGGACCUAACCAAGCACACCGCGGAGAAACGGGGAGGUGGUCGCCACAGGUAAAGCUGCCCAUCGGAAUGGAGUAGGUGGGCACAUUAGCUGGGGGCAGACCUUUGGAGGGCAGCCUCACCGGGACCCUAGACUUCCCUACGCCUCCAGCGCAUCCCCAUGGCAGACUCCUCGUCACGUGUGUACGGCGUCUCGGCACACACGUCCCCCCAACCCCCCGGGAGGUGCUGCUCUGCUUGCUGGUCUUCCUGUCUCUGCCCCGCAUCCCCCACUUUCCUCUCCAUUCUUCCCGGUGGCUGCCACGACACCAGCUCACUAACUCAGGGCGCUCUGCUGCUGUCUGGGAUGGCUCUGCUUCAAGUGAGCUGGCGCAGCUUAAAAUGAAUGUGUAUUCAAGACAAGACAGGCACUUCGUAUGCAAAAUGUGAUAUUCUAUAUAAAGUCCCCUUAUUGUAUAGAGUCAGGUAAAGGUGUCUGUGCAUGAAUUCACACAUUUUCAACAAAUAAUGUAUUUGGCCAAUUUAUUUUACUUAAAGGAUCUAAUUCUGGAGGUUAAGUUAUGCCAGGACAGUUCCUCAUACUAUUGCUGUGGAAACUACUUCGCUUCAUGUCAGUCCAGGUUUUCCACUG